AGCGCAUCUACUGUAUACCUGUCUGAAGAUCAGCAAAGAAUACAGUCUAAAAGAAGGACCAGCAAAUCUACAGCUCUACAAACUUGAUGUGCGAGAAGAUAUCGCCAGAUUUUCACGAAUCCUUUGUGAAAAAAUGGUCGGAGCAUCGCUGUGCGAUCCCUGGAUGUUCCUUUUGCAUCGUGAUUGACGGAAAUGCAAAAAACCACCGUCAGGUGUGUGGGGUAAAAGAAGGAACGAUAGAAUUCCCCGGAUUGCCAGGAAGCAUUAAGACCGGCUGCAUCAAUACACCCGCAAAGGGAUCUCGCUUUUGCAAAAGCUGCAAAGAGUUUGUCUGCGAGAGGAAAAACGCAAAAGAUGAAGACACUAGCUCAUAUGAACCAGGCACAAACAACAAAGAUCCAUAUAUGAUUGAUGAAAUCAUAGAGAUGAAAGAAAUGAGGACGAUGAAACUGUACAAAGUUAGUUCUUAUCAUUUU